rnacentral:misc_RNA from 1 species
AGAUUUUUGCUUUCAUUGAGAAAUUAUAAACAAAAUCUAAAUACAUAAAUUGAUGAGAGAAUAAAAAAUACAUGCAAAGAUACAUUUAGUUGGCUCCGCAUGUAUUCAAGGCCAUCAACCAACCAUUAGUGGAAAAACCAAGAUGCAUCACCUAAGAAGCAUGUAGUUGCAUUGUUGACCUUGCCAAAUAAGAAAGGGAUCAUA